CAGAAAUGGAGUCCAGAAACCAUUACAAACGGGGUGAAACCGAAAACCUUCAGAGUAGACAAUUA
rnacentral:ncRNA from 1 species